GGAAUCUUCCGCAAUGGACGAAAGUCUGACGGAGCAACGCCGCGUGAGUGAAGAAGGUUUUCGGAUCGUAAAACUCUGUUGUUAAAGAAGAACAAGGAUGAGAGUAACUGCUCAUCCCCUGACGGUAUUUAACCAGAAAGCCACGGCUAACUACGUGCCAGCAGCCGCGGUAAUACGUAGGUGGCAAGCGUUGUCCGGAUUUAUUGGGCGUAAAGCGAGCGCAGGCGGUUCUUUAAGUCUGAUGUGAAAGCCCCCGGCUCAACCGGGGAGGGUCAUUGGAAACUGGAGAACUUGAGUGCAGAAGAGGAGAGUGGAAUUCCACGUGUAGCGGUGAAAUGCGUAGAUAUGUGGAGGAACACCAGUGGCGAAGGCGACUCUCUGGUCUGUAACUGACGCUGAGGCUCGAAAGCGUGGGGAGCAAACAGGAUUAGAUACCCUAG
rnacentral:rRNA from 1 species